GUGAGGGUUGUUAUAGUGAUAUGGUCUACUGGGCUGUGAGGGUUGUUAUAGUGAUAUGGUGUACUGGGCUGUGAGGGUUGUUAUAGUGAUAUGGUGUACUGGGCUGUGAGGGUUGUUAUAGUGAUAUGGUCUACUGGGCUGUGAGGGUUGUUAUAGUGAUAUGGUGUACUGGGCUGUGAGGAUUGUUAUAGUGAUAUGGUGUACUGGGCUGUGAGGGUUGUUAUAGUGAUAUGGUGUACUGGGCUGUGAGGGUUGUUAUAGUGAUAUGGUGUACUGGGCUGUGGGGGUUGUUAUAGUGAUAUGGUGUACUGGGCUGUGAGGGUUGUUAUAGUGAUAUGGUCUACUGGGCUGUGAGGGUUGUUAUUGUGAGAUGGUCUACUAGGCUGUGAGGGUUGUUAUAGUGAUAUGGUGUACUGGGCUGUGAGGGUUGUUAUAGUGAUAUGGUGUACUGGGCUGUGGGGGUUGUUAUAGUGAUAUGGUCUACUGGGCUGUGAGGGUUGUUAUAGUGAUAUGGUCUACUGGGCUGUGAGGGUUGUUAUAGUGAUAUGGUCUACUGGGCUGUGAGGAUUGUUAUAGUAAUAUGGUGUACUGGGCUGUGAGGGUUGUUAUAGUGAUAUGGUCUACUGGGCUGUGAGGAUUGUUAUAGUAAUAUGGUGUACUGGGCUGUGAGGGUUGUUAUAGUGAUAUGGUCUACUGGGCUGUGAGGGUUGUUAUAGUGAUAUGGUCUACUGGGCUGUGAGGGUUGUUAUAGUGAUAUGGUCUACUGGGCUGUGAGGGUUGUUAUAGUGAUAUGGUGUACUGGGCUGUGAGGGUUGUUAUAGUGAUAUGGUCUACUGGGCUGUGAGGGUUGUUAUAGUGAUAUGGUGUACUGGGCUGUGAGGGGUUGGUUGUUAUAGUGAUAUGGUGUACUGGGCUGUGAGGGUUGUUAUAGUAUAGUGAUAUGGUGUACUGGGCUGUGAGGGUUGUUAUAGUGAUAUGGUGUACUGGGCUGUGAGGGUUGUUAUAGUGAUAUGGUGUACUGGACUCUUUAUUGAGUGAAUUUUAACUAGUGUUGAUUAAGUAAAUAAGAGAACAA
ensembl:lncRNA